UGGUCACAGCCUCGCAACCAUCUGGCCCCGAGGAGGUGGCCCUGGUCCCGGGGUCCCGGCCCCCCCUGCACUGGGCCAUCGUUUUGAACCCAGGGGGUUGGCGCCUAGCCGCUUCCCAGACGAUAAAUCCUCUAAGGAUUUAUUUUGUUUUAUUUGUCACUUGCUGCGGGGAAGAAAGCGUUCCUUCUGGCACCAUCAGAACACUGGAAUGGCCACGAAAUGAAGGAGAUGGAAACGUGCCAGGAUCAACACAACUAGACCCCCCCCCCCAACCCCACCCCAGACACGAAAGCAUGCCAGAUGGAAAGGUGUGAGUGAGACCUGGAAGGUCUUGUGACCUAAUCGGAGGCAUGGGCCCAUCGGGCUUUGCCUGAGGCAGAGCAAAUGUCUUGAUCCUGAGUUUCAAGUGGGGCUCACUGGGUGCAGAGGACGCUGAAACCUAGCCCUUUAAGAUGUUACCACUCCUGCUGCUUCGUGUCCUCCCCCCCACCCCCUCCCUUCCGGAGCCAGGUCAAGGUGUGUGAGGUCAGCCAAGCACCAGGAACAGCUCUGGUCCUGGGGUUUUAUUUUUAUCUGUCUCCCCACCUCCUCCUUUCCCAACAAGUUCAUGUUCUGAUGUCUAUGUGGAGGCUAGACUUAGAGGAGGAUUGUUACUUUUGUGACCUCGUACAUUGAACCUCGUACAUUUUCCAAUUUUCAAACAUACCUUUUUAACAUCUAGUUUAUUUUAAACCCUUGAGCAAACAUUUGAGGGUCCUUAAGUGACCUAUGUGGCUGCUAAUUAGAGAAAGGGUUGUGUAACCCUAUGAGACUGGAUAAAAUUGUAUCUCGUCUAGACCCUUUUGUAUUCCUCUUACUGAAACUGCUUCCCCUUGUUUCUUUCACCCCUUGGUUGAAUCCUAGCAUCAAAUUCUCCAUGGCAUGGACCACCACCUUGAGAGCAAAGAAUAUGAAUAAGUGUCAUAGCACUGUACGGAGAGAAGAAGAAAAUCAAAUCCAAUGAGGGUCAAUAAACCUGUUGGCUUGACCUUCAAAGUACCAUAUCUGGAAUCCAAGCUCCACCUAGCACCUCUGCUCCCAUGAUCCUGGUCAGCAUCAACUUGUGCCUACACUUUGCAAAAACCACCUACCGGAUCUCCCUCUUUUGGUGCUUGCCUCCAGCAGUAUACUUUGAGUCUUUUCAGUCCAGCUCAACUCCUCUGCUUUAAAAAAAAAAAAAAAAAAAAAAAAAAAAAAGACUAAAAAAUCCACUAGCUCCCCAUCUCAUUUAAGCUAAAAGCCAGAGUCCUUACUAUAGCCUCAAUAUUCCUGCUCUCUCUGACCAUCUCCUACUACUGUGUUCCUUACUUGUUUUUUCCAGUCCCAUUGGCCUCCAUGCUGUUUCUGAAACACAAUGAGCAAGCUCCAGUCUCAUGGCCUUCCCCUUUGCUGGGCCUCUGCCACCGGAAUGAUCUCUGCACUCCCCACAACCCACCCAAAACAGAACAAAACCUAGGAUGUUGUUUCCUUACCUCCUUCACGUCUUCAUUCGAGUCUUCUUUUCCCUGUAACAUCCGUGCCUUAGUUCUCUUCCUUUCCUUGCCAUCAUCAUAACAUACUAUAUAAUUUGUUUUACUUAUUGUCUUCCUCCACUAUAAUGUAUGCUGCCGAAGUCAAUGAUUCCUGUUCCUUUUAUUCACUGCUAUUUCCAAAGACACAGUGUAAAUGAAUGAAUAACUAUGGUAUUACAUUGUGUGUAUGAGAUUGUUAGAUAUAUUACCUCACUACUGUCUCUGACAGUGGUGGGGUGGAGGGGGGAGCAGGCUGGGAGAGAAACCCUCCUGAGCCUGUUUUCUGUUCUAUAAAAAUGCACAAGAA